rnacentral:rRNA from 1 species
GCGAUCAUAGUUGCAGUGUUCCACCUGGUCUCGUUUCGAUCCCAGUAGUUAAGCCUGUUGUCGUUUUGGUUUUUUGUACUAUGGAUUUUGUCUAUGGGAAUUCCAUUUUGUUGUCAAAC